rnacentral:rRNA from 1 species
AGGGUUUGAUCCUGGCUCAGAACGUACGCUGGCGGCACGCCUAACACAUGCAAGUCGAACGAAGUAGCAAUACUUAGUGGCAGACGGGUGAGUAACAUGUGGGUAUCUUCCCUUUGGCCUGGAAUAACACGAGGAAACUUGUGCUAAUACCGGAUAAGUCUUUACGGAGAAAGCUUUAUGCACCAUUGGAUGAGCCCGCACUUGAUUAGUUUGUUGGUAGGGUAAUGGCCUACCAAGACUGUGAUCAAUAGCUGAUUUGAGAGGAUGAUCAGCCACAUUGGGACUGAGACACGGCCCAAACUCCUACGGGAGGCAGCAGUGGGGAAUCUUGCACAAUGGAGGAAACUCUGAUGCAGCGAUGCCGCGUGAGUGAAGAAGGCCCUUGGGUUGUAAAGCUCUUUCGUCGGGGAAGAAAAUGACUGUACCCGAAUAAGAAGGUCCGGCUAACUUCGUGCCAGCAGCCGCGGUAAUACGAAGGGACCUAGCGUAGUUCGGAAUUACUGGGCUUAAAGAGUUCGUAGGUGGUUGAAAAAGUUGGUGGUGAAAUCCCAGAGCUUAACUCUGGAACUGCCAUCAAAACUUUUCAGCUAGAGUUUGAUAGAGGAAAGCAGAAUUUCUAGUGUAGAGGUGAAAUUCGUAGAUAUUAGAAAGAAUACCAAUUGCGAAGGCAGCUUUCUGGAUCAUUACUGACACUGAGGAACGAAAGCAUGGGUAGCGAAGAGGAUUAGAUACCCUCGUAGUCCAUGCCGUAAACGAUGUGUGUUAGACGUUGGAAAUUUAUUUUCAGUGUCGCAGCGAAAGCGAUAAACACACCGCCUGGGGAGUACGACCGCAAGGUUAAAACUCAAAUGAAUUGACGGGGACCCGCACAAGUAGUGGAGCAUGUGGUUUAAUUCGAAGAUACGCGCAGAACCUUACCAACACUUGACAUGUUCGUCGCGACUUUAAGAGAUUAAAGUUUUCGGUUCGGCCGGACGAAACACAGGUGCUGCAUGGCUGUCGUCAGCUCGUGUCGUGAGAUGUUGGGUUAAGUCCCGCAACGAGCGCAACCCUCACUUUUAGUUGCCAUCAUUAAGUUGGGCACUCUGAAAGAACUGCCAGUGAUAAGCUGGAGGAAGGUGGGGAUGACGUCAAGUCCUCAUGGCCCUUACGUGUUGGGCUACACACGUGCUACAAUGGUAUCUACAACAGGAAGCAAAACGGCGACGUUAAGCAAAUCCUUAAAAGAUACCUCAGUUCGGAUUGCACUCUGCAACUCGAGUGCAUGAAGCUGGAAUUACUAGUAAUCGUGGAUCAGCGUGCCACGGUGAAUGCGUUCCCGGGUCUUGUACACACCGCCCGUCACACCAUGGGAGUUGGUUCUACCUUAAGGCAAGGUUUAAUACCCUUGACCACGGUAUAGUCAGCGACUGGGGUGAAGUCAUAACAAGGUAGCCGUA